GCCAGCAGCCGCGGUAACGGGGAGGAAGGGGGGGAUGAUGUCAGGUCAGUAUUACCCUUACAUCUGGGGCUACAAACACGCUACAAUGGCCGGUACAAAGGGCUGCCAAGUCGCGAGACGGAGCAAAUCCCAUCAAAGCCGGUCUCAGUUCGGAUAAGAGGCUGAAACUCGCCUCUUUGAAGUCGGAAUCGCUAGUAACGGUAGGUCAGCUAUACUACCGUGAAUACGUUCCCGGGUCUUGUACACACCGCCCG
rnacentral:rRNA from 1 species